ensembl:lncRNA
CUGUCUCCCUCCUCUUCUCCUCCUGUCCCUCUGUCUCCCUCCUCUUCUCCUCCUGUCCCUCUGUCUCCCUCCUCUUCUCCUCCUGUCCCUCUGUCUCCCCUCCUCUCUCCUCCUGUCCCUCUGUCUCCCUCCUCUUCUCCUCCUGUCCCUCUGUCUCCCUCCUCUUCUCUCCUCCUGUCCCUCUGUCUCCCUCCUCUUCUCCUCCUGUCCCUCUGUCUCCCUCCUCUUCUCCUCCUGUCCCUCUGUCUCCCUCCUCUUCUCCUCCUGUCCCUCUGUCUCCCUCCUCUUCUCCUCCUGUCCCUCUGUCUCCCUCCUCUUCUCCUCCUGUCCCUCUGUCUCCCUCCUCUUCUCCCUCCUGUCCCUCUGUCUCCCUCCCUCUUCUCCUCCUGUCCCUCUGUCUCCCUCCUCUUCUCCUCCUGUCCCUCUGUCUCCCUCCUCUUCUCCCUCCUGUCCCUCUGUCUCCCUCCUCUUCUCCUCCUGUCCCUCUGUCUCCCUCCUCUUCUCCUCCUGUCCCUCUGUCUCCCUCCUCUUCUCCUCCUGUCCCUCUAUCUCCCUCCUCUUCUCCUCCUGUCCCUCUGUCUCCCUCCUCUUCUCCUCCUGUCCCUCUGUCUCCCUCCUCUUCUCCUCCUGUCCCUCUGUCUCCCUCCUCUUCUCCUCCUGUCCCUCUGUCUCCCUCCUCUUCUCCUCCUGUCCCUCUGUCUCCCUCCUCUUCUCCUCCUGUCCCUCUGUCUCCCUCCUCUUCUCCUCCUGUCCCUCUGUCUCCCUCCUCUUCUCCUCCUGUCCCUCUGUCUCCCUCCUCUUCUCCUCCUGUCCCUCUGUCUCCCUCCUCUUCUCCUCCUGUCCCUCUGUCUCCCUCCUCUUCUCCUCCUGUCCCUCUGUCCACUCUGAAGUCUUUCCAUUCUCAAGGUGCUGCAUCAGAUUAACUGUUCAAACAAAACAAGAAUAACAACAUUCUGCUGUUUACUAGAAAUAUGCUUUCAUUCUGUCUUUUAAAUAACACAUUUUUCAACUUUUGUUUCUUGUUUAUUUAGGUACUUUAAAAUGACUUUUGAAUUGUAAUGUGAGGAGCUUGAUAACUUGCACAGCACACUGCUAGUUUCUGCCGUUCAGUUUGUGUGUUUUAUGUUAUGCUGAAAUGCCAGAGUAAAACCUGAUUCAACUGAGAAUCAUUUGAGAAUUGUCUGAGAAUGAACCACUCUGUGUCUGUCUGUCUUAUCUGUCUCUGUGUGUAAAGAAUUAUUGUGUGAAGCUGUCUCCCUCCUGAUUGGUCUGGUCUGAUUAUGACUCCUUCCUGUUUGUACAGUGCCUAACAUGAUGAAGCAAACUGAUUUAUCUACCGUUGUUUUGUUCACUCUUUUCUGUUGGUUUACCAUUUUAUUUUAACACUUUGAUAGCAUCUUAUGUCCUUAGAUUGAACAUGAUCAGUUCAUCUUAAACAACUUAAUUUAUUUAAAAAAUAACCAUGUUUAAGAGCUUUUAUGAAAGACAUUAGCAUUUCUGAAAACAAAAGACGAGAACAUCUGAAGCUGUUGUCCUUAAUCAAAUGCUGUAGAACUCCGUUACCCAGAAUGCAACAGUUCGGUAAGGUGUGUGUGUGAGUGGGUCAUGGAUGUAUAUUUAGUGACUACAAACACAUUCAUCCAAAAAACAUUACAUUCGCCGAGACCCACUCCCUCAAAUUACAAACAAGUGUAGGGGGUGACACUUUUGUCUGGGAAUUAAACUUCCAGACUGCUCAUGGUCAUUACAUUAAAAUUACUGUUAUGGAGGCAGGUUGCUUUUUAGAAUGUUAGCAAUAAAGAGCUGUGCUGAUUGAACUUGUGUGUGUGUGUGUGUGUGUGUGUGUUUGUGUGUGUGUGUGAGAGAGGUGAUGGGUGUAUCACUCUCUCAAUCUGGUGAACAGACUGCUGAUCACUACUGUUGGACUCUGUCUUUAAAAUAAAAACUCUAUAGACCUCUUUGUUUCUGAGCGACCAACUCAUCACUAAUGUUUUGGUUUCUAUGUUUUGUAAAACAGAAAAAUAAAUGAUACUAGAACAUUA